rnacentral:rRNA from 1 species
UACGUAGGCAGCGAGCGUUGUUCGGAAUUACUGGGCGUAAAGAGUGUGUAGGCGGUGCUCUAAGUUCGGUGUGAAAUCUCCCGCUUAACUGGGAGGGUGCGCCGGAAACUGGAGUGCUCGAGCGUGGGAGAGGAAAGCGGAAUUCCUGGUGUAGCGGUGAAAUGCGUAGAUAUCAGGAGGAACACCUGCGGUGUAGACGGCUUUCUGGACCAUUGCUGACGCUGAGACACGAAAGCGUGGGGAGCGAACAGG